AUCCAGAUGACAAGUCCCAAAUAGGACGAAACACGCGUCAAACUGGAU
rnacentral:hammerhead_ribozyme from 1 species